rnacentral:tRNA from 1 species
UUAAUUGAAACCAAAAAGAGGUAAAUCACUGUUAAUGAUUUAAUUGAAUAUAUUAUUCCAAUUAAA